CAACGGCAUCAUGGUGGUCCAUGCAGGGCCAGCCUCCUGCAGAUUUUUGUGAGUUUAGGCUCACCAUCAUAGAGGAGCAGGCUGGCACAGUCAGUUAACAGCACACUAACCUAUGGAAAGGCUUCUGUGACUACUUAACAAACUGGAGUUAUCUUAUUGUCUUAUUAACCCUAAUUAGAAAGGAAGUUUUAUGGGCGACAUCCAGAUGCAGAAAAAAAAACAUGAAGAGUAGCUGGAAACAAGGCGAUUUCUACCAUUGAAAUGCAUCCUGCCCAAACAGCUGCCAUACUGUCUGUCUGCAGUCCUGCCUGGUAUGGAAAGCCAUCAGGCGCUUAUCCAGUCAGAGCCGUGAGAUGUUCUUUCUUCUUCCGAAGGUGUCCUUGGUUCUCAUGCCUGCUUACCUUACAAUACAGCUGCUGCUCUGAACAGUUUUUCUUGUAUUCCCACAAUAUGUGUGUGUUUAUACGGAAGUUUAUAAAUAUUUAUUAAUUUGUAUGCACAUUUCUGUAGCUCAAAGAUUUAUGAAAAAAAUCAUUUUGGCAACAGUAGAAAGAUACAAUAAAAUGCACUUUUAAAAUAUUUGUGAAAAGCUUUUCUAUGUAAUAAUAUGGGAAGACACUGCAUGUAUCCAGUGACAAAUUAUUAAAAAUUAUUAAAACUUCCCUCUGGUAAAACUGCAGGUGUUUGCAAGAGUCUGCUCCAGUUGUUCUAUCAGCACUCAACACAAACUUGAUGCUGCUGAGAAA